GUGACUCUCAGGACACGCCUCCGUCUCCGUAGUGUUGCGAUACGUCAUGUUCACGUAGCAGCAGCGGUGCUGAGAGAACGUGCUCGACAAGUCAGGACUUCCUGUGGGACUGAUGGCGGUAAAAACAGUGUUUAGCAGACGCCCUGAUCCAGAGCAGAGCGACGAUGAGACCGGGAUUAAUCUAAGACGAAAACUCGGUCUUUCUCUUGGUGCUGUAAGCUGCUGGAUGCUAAUGAUGUGAUGAAUGGUAUGAUGGAGAAGCUGAGAUGUUCACCAUCAUCCCUUACUGCACUCACUGCUCUUUAACACAGGCCGCAGAUGGUUUGGGUUUGGAUCACCAUCAUUGUUCUACAUG